GAUGAACGCUGGCGGCGUGCCUAAUACAUGCAAGUCGAGCGGUAAGGCUCCUUCGGGAGUACACGAGCGGCGGACGGGUGAGUAAUACGUAGGAACGUACCCCAAAGUGAGGAAUAACCAGCCGAAAGGUUGGCUAAUACCGCAUAUGCUCUACGGAGUAAAGCAGCAAUGCGCUUUGGGAACGGCCUGCGUCCGAUUAGCUAGUUGGUAAGGUAAAGGCUUACCAAGGCGACGAUCGGUAGCUGUUCUGAGAGGAUGAUCAGCCACACUGGAACUGAGACACGGGCCAGACUCCUACGGGAGGCAGCAGUAGGGAAUUUUCCACAAUGCGCGAAAGCCUGAUGGAGCAACGCCGCGUGCAGGAUGAAGGCCUUAGGGUUGUAAACUGCUUUUAUCUGUGACGAUUAUGACAGUAGCAGAUGAAUAAGGAUCGGCUAACUCCGUGCCAGCCGCCGCCGUAA
rnacentral:rRNA from 1 species